AGAACGAACGCUGGCGGCAUGCCUAACACAUGCAAGUCGAACGCCCCGCAAGGGGAGUGGCGGACGGGUGAGUAACACGUGGGAACCUGCCCAAUGGUCUGGAAUAACCGCGGGAAACUGCGGCUAAUACCGGAUAAGCCCGAGAGGGGAAAGAUUUAUCGCCGAUGGAGGGGCCCGCGUCCGAUUAGGUAGUUGGUGGGGUAACGGCCUACCAAGCCUACGAUCGGUAGCUGGUCUGAGAGGAUGAUCAGCCACACUGGGACUGAGAUACGGCCCAGACUCCUACGGGAGGCAGCAGUGGGGAAUAUUGGACAAUGGGGGCAACCCUGAUCCAGCAAUGCCGCGUGAGUGAUGAAGGCCUUAGGGUUGUAAAGCUCUUUUGGCGGGGACGAUGAUGACGGUACCCGCAGAAUAAGCCCCGGCUAACUUCGCGCCAGCAGCCGC
rnacentral:rRNA from 1 species